GACGAACGCUGGCGGCGUGCUUAACACAUGCAAGUCGAACGGAAGGGCCCUGCUUUUGUGUGGUGCUCGAUUGGCGAACGCGGGAGUAACACGUGAGUAACCUGCCCUUGUCUUUGGGAUAACUUCAGGAAACUGGGGCUAAUACCGGAUAGAAUCUCCUGCUGCAUGGUGUUGGAUGGAGAGUUUCGGCGGUUGGGGAUGGACUCGCGGCUUAUCCGCUUGUUUGGGGGGUAGUGGCUUACCAAGGCUUUGACGGGUAGCCGGCCUGAGAGGGUGAACGGCCACAAGGGGACUGAGGGAGGGCCCAGACGCGUACGGGAGGCAGCAGGGGGGAAUAUUGCGCAAUGGGCGGAAGCCUGAGGCAGCAACGCCGCGUGCGGGAUGACGGCCUUCGGGUGAUAAACCGCUUUCGACUGUGACGAAGCGUGAGUGACGGUAACGGGUAAAGAAGCACCGGCUAACUACGUG
rnacentral:rRNA from 1 species